rnacentral:rRNA from 1 species
AAUACCGCGUAACACCUUUGGGGAGCAUUCCCUUGGGGUUAAAGGAGAGAUCCGGCAUAGGAUGGACAUGCGUCGCAUUAGGUAGACGUCGGGGUAACGGCCCACCGUGCCGACGAUGCGUAGGGGUUCUGAGAGGAAGGCCCCCCACACUGGUACUGAGACACGGACCAGACUCCUACGGGAGGCAGCAGUGAGGAAUAUUGGUCAAUGGCCGAGAGGCUGAACCAGCCAAGUCGCGUGAGGGAAGAAUGUCCUAAGGAUUGUAAACCUCUUUUGUCGGGGAGCAAAAGGGCUCUGCGGAGUCGUAUUGAGAGUACCCGAAGAAAAAGCAUCGGCUAACUCCGCGCCAGCAGCCGCGGUAAUACGGAGGAUGCGAGCGUUAUCCGGAUUUAUUGGGUUUAAAGGGUGCGCAGGCGGCGUGUCAAGCAAGCGGUAAAAUAGCGGGGCUCAACCCCGUCGAGCCGUUUGAACUGGCGCGCUUGAGUUCAGGCGAGGUAGGCGGAAUUCGUGGUGUAGCGGUGAAAUGCAUAGAUAUCACGAAGAACUCCGAUUGCGAAGGCAGCUUACCAGUCUGCGACUGACGCUCAGGCACGAAAGUGUGGGUAUCGAACAGGAUUAGAUACCCUGGUAGUCCACACAGUAAACGAUGAGCGCUAGGUGUCCGGGUCGAAUGAGGCUUGGGUGCCCGAGCGAAAGCGUUAAGCGCUCCACCUGGGGAGUACGCCGGCAACGGUGAAACUCAAAGGAAUUGACGGGGGCCCGCACAAGCGGAGGAACAUGUGGUUUAAUUCGAUGAUACGCGAGGAACCUUACCCGGGCUCAAACGACUCAGGAAUAUAUUGGAAACGAUGUAGCCAGCAAUGGUCUGAGUCGAGGUGCUGCAUGGUUGUCGUCAGCUCGUGCCGUGAGGUGUCGGCUUAAGUGCCAUAACGAGCGCAACCCCUACCGCCAGUUGCCAACGGGUAAAGCCGGGAACUCUGGCGGGACUGCCGGCGCAAGCUGCGAGGAAGGCGGGGAUGACGUCAAAUCAGCACGGCCCUUACGUCCGGGGCGACACACGUGUUACAAUGGCAGGUACAGCGGGAAGCCCCCUGGUGACAGGGAGCGGAACCCGAAAGCCUGUCUCAGUUCGGAUUGGAGUCUGCAACUCGACUCCAUGAAGCUGGAUUCGCUAGUAAUCGCGCAUCAGCCAUGGCGCGGUGAAUACGUUCCCGGGCCUUGUACACACCGCCCGUCAAGCCAUGGGAGCCGGGGGUGCCUGAAGUACGUGACCGCGAGGAGCGUCCUAGGGCAAAACUGGUGACUGGGGCUAAG